GCCUUCGUGGUGUAACGGUAGCACACUCGGUUUAUGUUCGAGCGGUUGUGGCUCUAGUCCCCGCAAGGGCA
rnacentral:tRNA from 1 species